CCUAACCGUCACGAAAACUCUGACCCCGUGUCUCUGAUUUUCAUCUUGCUGCUGCCUGAUACGUGGAAUCAUAUUUCUGAAUAAUUUAUCCAGCAGACUUCGUCACCUGCACUAGAGACUAGAAAACAAAGAUGUUUAACGGAAACACGUCCAUCAAACAUAUCAGCAAGUUAACAAUGGAAUCUUCCCACGUGUUGCUGCUAUUCUACCGAACUGAACCUUCACCAGUUAUUAGUAUAGUUCGUACUGGCAGAUGAAACGAAAUGUUAUUUGAUUUUCAUCAAAAUGGAUAUUCAUCAUGGAAUAAAGAUCGAAGGUAUAAUCGUCUACCCCCGAAAAACCAGUAAGUGAAAUAAGUCCAAAAAUCAAACUUUAUAAUUGUUUUUGGCAUUAAUCAAGAAAAAGGUGCAGAAGAAGAAGAAGAAUGCAGAAUGACCUGGGUCAUAGGAAGCAAUACUAGAGAAAUAUCCUCCAAUUUUCGACAGACAAGCAGUCUACCCGCAACUAUAACAUUUAUGAUUUCUCAAUAUAAAAUGGAUAAAGCCGAGCCAACCUGAUUGUGAAUGAGAUCCGACAGGCUGGGUGCAAAAUUCCUGUUGUGUGGUCCUCUCAUCAAAACAUCAUAUAGUAAGGAACCAACAUCUAAUUCACAACAGUACUUCACUCCGGCUCCGGCUAUCCAGUCAUAAGAAUAAUCACUUGUUCUCUUCGAUACAAUUGGAUGCAAAACGGACGAGUCUGCUUGGUCACGUAAUGAAGAAACUAUUGAACCAAGACUUGCUGAAAAAUGGCCGGUAACACAUCAUCCGAGGAUCCCGUAUGUAUGAAACAACUGCUGGUUGAGUUGAGGACAUCACAGUAUAUCUACUACAAGUAAGCCUCACCAAAUUGGGAAAGUUGGUACUAAGCAUUGAGGGCUCGUCUUAAUUCUGUAAACACUGGUUUAAUGUAAUAUUUAAAUGACCCCUUCGGUCACUGGAUCGAGGGGGUCAUAAGCGGUACAUUCGCUGCUUUGUCAUUCGAUGAUGUCAGGCACAAGAAAUAGAGCCUUAUCUCAAGCUACACCUUAAAGUUUUUUGUAUACGAGUUCAUAAGCGUAUGUAGGAUAUUUCUUGUAAUAUCUUUUAUAAAUCAGUGAUAGGAGAGUAUUGUUCAUUGACACCGUGUUUCUCAAACAUAUUUUACCUAAUGCGAAAAUAUUUUUUGUUUUGACAUAAUCCAUAUUGGACUCGAAUCCUUAGGUUGCAAUCAGUUGCCCAGUAUCAUUAACGAUGUCAUUUCGCCGCUUCUAUUCGUAUUAACCGUUCUGCAAAGUAUAUUUUUUAUAUAAAAAUUAUUAUCAUUAUUUGUUAAGCCAGUAUGUAAGAUAUUGCGAAUAAUAUUUAUUUUGCAUAAACCAGUGACAGAGGGGUAUUGUUCAUUGACACCGUGCUUCUAAAAAACAUAUUUUAGCUAAUCUGAUUCUUUUGCUACUUGCAUCCAUUGGCUCCCUACGACUCUGGCGAUGUCUUCAGUCUACCUAGCAGAUGACUUUCUCAGCUUCUGAUUCAGAGUCGAUACUCCAGUACUUACCUUGCCCGACGGUCGUCAUUUCUUCGAGCGUUGUGGCCUCCCCAUCCCGUCAUCCUGCAAAUUUUGCGAGCUAUGUAGGAUAUUGCUUGAAAUAAUUGACUAUUAUGUGGUAUUACAGUUGUUGACAUUGGUUGUCUCGAUAUUUUAUUAGGUAACUGUAAACCUCAGCAAUAACUAAAAAUGACAAUGUUAUAUGUAACUGUAAAUGGUAAUAUUUAGAAAACUACAUCAAUCAUGAUCAUUUAAUUUUUAU